GGUUUUUGUUUGAAGUGUCAUUCGGGAAGAGUUUGGGGGAUAUCUAUAUUUGUAUCGGCUAAAAGUUGUACAUACGAUACAAUGUAACCGACGUUCUACAACUACAAGAUAGCAACUCUGAACGGAAACUGCAUCAAUACUGAGAUUUGAAAGCACGUCUGACUAAACAAAACUGAAGUAUACUGCUUCCUUCAGAGGCCAUUACAGAAUAUCGCCAAAGGGUGGGAUUUCUUAAAGAAAAUCGCUUCCAAUAAGAUGAUUUAUCCUGUGUCAUCUUCAGGGAUCCCAUACUCUUGUAGAGUAGCCACAUCUUCUGUAUAGACGGUCUGAAGGAAUUAUGGAGACAAAAAGGCAUCUCGGGAAUGUCCCGUUUGCAGUAGAAGAUCCUCAAAGGCGGAACUCACAACUCCAUUGAAGCCCUGUACCAUCAUUCUAAGCUGCUGUGACUAACCUGUGAUGAAACAUAAAUUAAGCUACAGGCCCAGGACACAGAGGCAGAUUGAGAAGGAGUUUGAGAAGCUUCACCAGUUACUUUGAGAGGACAAAGGCAGCCAGACUAGCUACUCUGAAGAAGGAAGAGAAGAACAGUGAGAUGAUUGAGGAGAUGAGCGGAGGGAUAUCAUCACUUUCAGACAAAGAGCCGUAGAGAAGGAGCUGAAAGCAGAAGAUGUCUCAUUCCUGCAUAACUAUAAGGCCACAGUGAAAAGGUAAGUGAUCUGCCUCUUGUCUCUCUUCUCUGUGGUUCUUAACAAAGUUAUGCCAACCCCACAGUACAACUGAUGGUGCACACUGCCGAAUCCAGAGAAGGUUUCAGAACCACUGAUCCAUGUGGCCAAGCAUCUUGGCAACCUGCAUAGAUCAUGUGUGAAGAUACAGGAAAUUGUUAGAGGUUUUUCAAUAUAGUGAGUAUGAUUAUGUUACAAUGAACACAUUUAUUUACUAACUUAAGUGAAUACAUAAUGCCCCUUUUUUUAAAGUAUGCAAUUGUGAGACGCUGCUUGGUCCUGGACUAAGACGAAAAAGGUGUUGCGUGAAAGCGCCCUCUAGAGUCUAGGCCUGAAUCAAUUACAUAUAAUGCAGUGCUUCAAUUACUGAAAAAUCCAUGUUUAAAAAAGUAUUUAGAUCACAGGUGGCACUUUAAUUGGGGAGGACAGGCUCGUGGUAAUGGUUGGAACGGAAUGAGUGGGAUUUUAUCAAAGACAUCAAACACAUGGCUUCCUUUUGUUUGAUGCCAUUCCAUUCGCUUCGUUCUAGUCAUUAUUGUGAGCCAUCCUUCUCUCAGCAGCAUCCAUUGAUCUAGAUAUAGUGAUUUAAGAAUAUUGGAAUGUAUUUGGAAACAGGAAAGUCUUUGACAACACUUUCAAAAACCUGUUGGUAGAGUUUUACAAGUAGACAUUCCAAUACUUCAAAUAGGGUAGUUGUUUUGAGCUAUGUUUUUGAAAAAACUCCCAAUACAUAAAUCAUGUAUUUGAACCCAGGUCUUGACAGUCUACUUCCUGUCUAGCUUCUGUGACUCUGAACCCCAAGACUGCUCACCCAAGUCUUAUCCUGUCUGAGGAUUUGACCAGCGUGAGAUUCGGUGUGGCUCAAAAGCUUCCUGACAUCACAGAGAGGUUUGAUCAUGCAUUUGUCCUGGAUUUUGAGGGCUUUAACUCAGGGACACACUUCUGGGAUGUUGAGGUUGGGGAAAACGCAUGGGCUCUGGGUGUGAUCACAGAAUCUGUACAGCGUAUACGCAGUGGAUUAUAAUUCUGAAGGUGAAUAGUCAGCAGAAUCCCCACCAAAGCCAACCAUUCCCCUCACAGUGAGACAGACACCCCGGAGGAUCAGAGUGAAACUGGACUGGGACAGAGGAGAGCUGUCAUUCUCUGAUCCUAUGAAUAAAACACAACUACACACAAUCACACAAACUUUUAAUGAGACAGUCUUUCCUUGCUUUUGUAACUUCUCUAAAGAUUGUGCCAUGACAAUGGAAAAAUAGUUAGAGCUGAUAGUUUCUUACUAUACAAUGUUGAAUCAACCACCGAGCUACUGCUUGAAAACAAGUUAAGAUAUUAUAGUGACUUGAUCAAACGUAACAUUCAAAAACACCUAGUACUCUGCCCUAUACCUUAAAGACAUAGUCACUUUAAUUAUGCUUACCUACUGUUUUACCCACUUCAUAUGUAUAUACUGUAUUCUAGUUAAGGCUCAUCCUAUAUAACUACUGCUGUACACACCUUUUCUAUUCAUAUACUGACUAUACAUACCAUUAUUUUUAUAUAUAUAUGUAUUCCGGACUCUGAUAUUGCAAAAAUUUUUGGGGGGCGGGAUUUGUGUUUAUUGUAAGGUAUUACUGCACUGUUGGAGCUAGAAACAUAAGCAUUUCGCCACAUCUGCGAUAACAUCUGCAAAAUAUGUGUAUGCCACCAAUAACAUUUGAUUUGAUUUAGUCUAAGCUUAGUGGAGUAUAAACCUGUUAUUUAUUUUUCGUAGAUAUGUUUGAUUUGUUAAUCAUUAGCUCUUAUUGUCUUAAGAAUACAGUUAUGUACAUGACUGCUGAUCAAUUACAUAUAAAUACAAAGCCAUACUGUAACUGUCAUUCCUUAUUCUAUGAUUAAAGCAAAUACAUGCUA